rnacentral:snoRNA from 1 species
UGCCUUUUGUGUUGCCCGUUCACUUUGGUCACUAGUGGAUGUGGUGUCAAAAAAGGCAGAAAUAAAACACUUUGCAGCCUUUUCUCUUGCCUUGGGAUUUUUUGUUCCAUUGGCGAGUGUGCUGUAUAAGUAACAAGU